AUUGUGUGGUUGUAAAGGGUGUGAUUUCAUGGACUGUCGCAGGGUUCAGAAGUUUGCAUGUGAGGCUUUUCAAUGUUGGUGUUUUUGGCAGUUUUUCUGGGAUUUAUAUUGUUCAUGUCGGUAUCGGAAUUGUGUCGUGUCGACCGAGGUUGGGAGUUGUGUCGUGAAAUGGGUUUUGGCCAUAUCGUCCAGCCCUAGUGUGGGGGUUGUGAAGUUAGGAACACAUGUCUACGUGAUCCAAAAGUUUAAGGCCUCCAUUGUAGUGUGAUGUUAAACUUUAGAAAUACUGUAUGUGCUCCCCUCUGUAGUUGAUAGUGAAUUGGAGAAAGCUAAAAGGUUGAAAAAAUUUACUUUUAAAAGGGUUUUAAUAUCUGCUGAAAAUGAUUUAGCUCUGACACAGAUUAUAGUCCAACAUAAGAAGCCAUUUGUUUAAGCGUGAAUUCUGCCCCCGCUGAAAAUCACACGCACACACCCACUGAGGAGAAACAGGAAGUAACCAAUUCAGCACAGAUGGCGCUGCCCGACACAGCUGUGCUGGGCUGCGCCCCUCCCUAUAUGUAGUGUCAGCCAUUUCUGAGCAGACGGCUACCUCCCUCCCGUCUCUCACUCUCACACAUACCUCAAAUACCACACCCAGCGCUCCUGUUUUACAGCACACACAAACGCAGACUGGUAUGAAUCCGGUGCGUGUUAUGUUUUCUGAUAAUGAGCAUCAGAGUGAACAAGGUAAAGACAUACACACAUCACAUGUGACAUUAAAGGUGCUAAGUGGGGUUUUACAUGCUAAAUCAGAAGAAGAUCGGGGCCAGUGAUAGCUUGGUGGUUAAGGUACUGGACUGGUAAGCAGAAGGCUGCCAGUUCAAGCCCCGCCACCACCAAGUUGCCACUGUUGGGUCCCUGAGCAAGGCCCUUAACCCUCAAUUGCUUAUCGUGUUCCGCUCAUUGUGUAAGUCGCUUUGGAUAAAAGCGUCUGCUAAAUGCUUAAAAUGUAAAUGUAAAUCAGAAGAAGAAGAGGAGGAAGAUAUUGGAAGUGAAGGUAGCAGCUGGAGGAGAGCAAGUAGGGGAAGAAAACAAGGUAAAAUGCAAGGUAGGGUUGUUAGGCCUACAAUUAGGGCCAGUAACAGUAGAGAAGGUGUAUUAAUUACUGGUGAGGAUCUGGAUGUGGAAUGGAAGGAAGGGAAAGACAGUAGAAGCAGAAAAGUGAAGUGGGAAAGGAAAGGAAAGUUGAGUAAAAAUGAAGCCUUUGACAGAUAUGAGAGGGACUUGAGACGGUUAUCAAAUCAGCUAGAAACUUCAAGGGCUGAGUUUGACAUAAGGAUGGGAACAGGUGAGACUGGCCAUGAAGAGCCAAAAUGCACUAAAACUGGUAGCCCUGUGUCUAGCUGUCUUACUGACACAGAACCUUUUGAGCAGUAACACCGUGUUGAUUCAAUAUGUUGAUGACUUGCUAAUUGCUUGUACUUCUGAAGAGCUCUGGUUACAGGAUACUAUUACCAUUCUUACUCAUCUGGCGAACUUAGGAUACAAAGUCAACAAAGCCAAACUGCAGAUAUGCCGACCUGUCGUGACAUUUCUGGGAUGGAGGGUUUCCAGCAAGGGUCACUCCCUGACUGCUGACACCAGAGGUUGCAUCCUGAAUCACCCGAAGCCAACUACCAUAAAUGUGCUGCCUCUGGUGACUCCAAUGAAAAGAAAGUGGAACUACAAUUCAGUACUGAGUCUGAUUUCACCCAUCUGAUCUACACCAGCUUCACCUGAUGGUUUUGGAAACAUACCAGACCCAACAGAUCCUGCUGUGUAUCUGAUACCCACUGCCAGAUAAAACCACAAACACAGAAUUAAAUAUUAGUUCUUACUUGUAUAAUUAUAAGAACUAUCUACAUAUUCAUAAAAUCAGAAAUAAACUAUUAAACUAAAUAGAAACUGGUUUCUGUUCUCCUGAAUGACCCAGGUGGAUCUGGCUGGUACAUAGCUCUGCCGUGUCCUUAUCACGUGUAUUUGUUCUUUAUUUGUGAUAAUCAGACUGGUUUUCUCUGUAAUUUUUCUUGCUUAUACAGCCCCCUCCUCAAUUACUGGCACUCCUGGUACAGAUGAAUAAAAAUAGUUAUACGAA